CUCAGAGUAACACCAAAAAUAUCAUAUUCACCUGAGUACACUACACCAACACAGAAAAAAAAUUCAAAGUUGGUUAAGUCUAAGUUUUCUCUUGUAUAUAGUUACACUACACUAAUUAGAGACAGCCCUUGCUUGACCACUAGGAAGAACAGUUAAGAACUGAUAGAGAGAUAGGAGCUGUUGGAUGUUAAUUUUAGUCCCUCUUUCUGUUGUUUUAGUCAUGAUAUAACAAGAAUGUUACAAGGUUG